rnacentral:tRNA from 1 species
GCCGAAAUAGCUCAGUUGGGAGAGCGUUAGACUGAAGAUCUAAAGGUCCCUGGUUCGAUCCUUGGUUUCGGCA